UCCAUAACUGAUCCCUUCGGGGUGAAGUUUUGGAUAUCUUAGCGGCGGACGGGUGAGUAACGCGUGAGAAACCUGCCUUUCACAAAGGAAUAGCCUCUGGAAACGGGGAUUAAUACCUUAUGAUACCUUUUUGAGCACAUGCUCUAGAGGUCAAAACGUAAAGUGGUGAAAGAUGGUCUCGCGUCCCAUUAGCUAGUUGGUAAGAUAAAAGCUUACCAAGGCAAUGAUGGGUAGCCGGCCUGAGAGGGUGAACGGCCACACUGGAACUGAGACACGGUCCAGACUCC
rnacentral:rRNA from 1 species